GCACGGGUUGGCUUAGUUGGUAGAGCAUGUGACUCUUGAUCUCAAGAUCAUGGGUUCAAGCCUCAUGCUGGGCA
rnacentral:tRNA from 1 species